UCAGUGAGAGGAAGCAGGUACUCUCAGUUCAGCUCCAGCAUCAACCAUGUUCUCUGUAGCUCUGGUCCUGCUGCUGAUAUCCUGUGUGUUCUGCAUCGAUCUCACCCAGCCAGCCUCCAAGAUUGUGCAGCCUGGACAGUCUUUGACCAUCACCUGUCGAGUAUCUGGUUACUCUCUGACUGAUAGCAGCUAUGCAACAGGUUGGAUCAGACAGCAUAAAGGAAAAACAAUUGAUUGGAUUUUAACCAUGUGGAGUGAUGGGAGCAUAGCCCCAAAUAAUGCUCUGAAGAACAAGUUCAGCUGCAACAGAGACACUUCUGCUGGAAUAAUAACAAUAACAGGACAGAAUCUGCAGCCUGAAGACACAGCUGUUUAUUACUGUGCAAGAGUUACACAGUGA